CUCGGGACUUUACGCACUUAACAUCCACAAAAAAGCGAUCAAAACCGUCAAAAAAGCCUUGAAAACACGCUUAAAAAUAAAAAAAAUAAAACGAUAGUGUGUUGGUAGUACGGGUGAGAAUUUUUGAACUAUUCUGUCAUUUUUGAUUUAAAAAAAAAAAUAAUAAUAAUUUUAGUGCUCUUUUGACAUUUUUAAACUUUUUUGUGGAUUUUAAAUUUAUAAAGUCCCGAGCCCCGUUUAUUACUAUUAUUGUUGUAAUUUUUUUUUAAAUAUUUUUUUUUUUUUUUUUUAAUCUUGUUACGCGUGUUUUAAUUCAACUAGUUUUUUUUUUAACUCUAACAAUUAUAUGUACAUUCAUUUUUUAAACGGAAACAUCGAAAUGCUUUCUAUUAUUGCCUUUGUACUUAUAUUGCGUAGCGCGAGAAACGCAGAGAAAACAAACUAUGUUAUUAUUAGUGACCAGGCACCUCAACGCGGUAUACUUUCUAUUGGACUAACGUGUGUUAAAACGAAGUGACGAAUGUAAAUUAUGUAUUAAAAGUCAG